rnacentral:rRNA from 1 species
GAAUUUUUCGCAAUGGGGGAAACCCUGACGAAGCAACGCCGCGUGGAGGAUGAAGGCCUUCGGGUCGUAAACUCCUGUCGACCGGGACGAACGUAGAGGCGGCUAAUAUCCGCUUCUAUCGACCGUACCGGGGGAGGAAGCCACGGCUAACUCUGUGCCAGCAGCCGCGGUAAUACAGAGGUGGCAAGCGUUGUUCGGAAUUACUGGGCGUAAAGGGCGCGUAGGCGGCUUUGUAAGUCCUGUGUGAAAUCCCCCGGCUCAACUGGGAACUGCACAGGAAACUGCAUGGCUUGAGUUCGGGAGAGGGAAGCGGAAUUCCGGGUGUAGCGGUGAAAUGCGUAGAUAUCCGGAGGAACACCGGUGGCGAAGGCGGCUUCCUGGACCGACACUGACGCUGAGGCGCGAAAGCCAGGGGAGCAAACGGG